CAAGCCAUGUUCCUUGAAUAAUUGUAUAAAUCACAUCUAAGUAACAAAUGAAGUAAGAAACCGUUAGUGUAUAAUGACUAUAUAAGAUGUCAAUAUAAACAUCACAAGAAGCAGCAAUAUAGAACACUUAAAUAGCACAAUACACAAGUGUUUUAUUAUCUUCAUUCAAAAACCUAUGUGCCUUGAUCCUGCACACUCACACCAAUGCACUCAAAUCAUAAUUAAAUACAAGCUACAUAUAUGUAUGUGUUGAAGAAUAAAUUCACCAAGAUAGGCAAUUACGAGAUAUUUUAGUUUCAUAAUAUUAUGUAUUGAUAUAUUAUAGGUUUACUAAUUGCACUACAAACAUGCAUACACUUUUCUUCUCUAUUUAAAAGGAGCUCUCUGUACAAUACCAGUCAUUGAAUAGGAAAAAUAAAUAAUUUUCUUAGCAGUCAAUUUUACCACCACCUAAAACUGCUAAUAGUUUAUAUAAAACCAAUUGCCUAUCUAUAAUGUAUUAAACCAACUGCUAAUAGUUUAUAUAAAACCAAAUGCUAAUAUUUAAUUUUGCAAGACUGGGCUAUGGGACAGAGCAAAAGAAUUACCAUCUUACCUUAUAUAUAAAGCCAUCCAUUCCAAAAUGAAAGAACAAAGUAGCACUAAACUGCACAUAAUCAGAAAUGUGCUGAUAGCUUUAUACAUGACAUACAAAAAGCAUAAUUAUUGUGAGAAAGUAGCUAUACAUUAGAACAUAUUCCCUUACUAACUACUAUCUCUCAAGUGUAUGUAACAUUUAGGUGAGGCAGAAAAUUAAAAUACACAUUAAUCAAAAGAAAUCAUAGCACUACUAUUAAGUCCAAGGUAUUGACAAUAUUUUGGAGUCAAUUAUAGCACCAGAUCAAUAAGUAUCAACUUUCAAGUCUUCAUUCUUCAAUUAAACAUCAACCUACAUUAGGAGCAUGUGCAUGACAUAGUAAGACAUCUGUAACCGAAGAAAGGUAGGAACUAGGAACACAUGACAUUGCAUCAGAUGGAAUACAAAAGGCAUUAAUCAAGGUUACAAAGUUCCAUCAAUGAAACUAACAGGAAACCAAAGGGUGAGAGAAGGAUGUAUUUUCCUUAUUCAUUAUAUUGGAGGAACUACAAGUAGAAAGCAUUGAUAAUAUUUUUGGAUACACUAAGAACUCAAGUUCCCUGUCACAGUCAAAGAAAAGAAGAAAAAGGGUUGUUCCAACAGUGGAUUAUCAAUCCAAGCAGAACAAGAAGAAGAAAACCAAUCUUCAAUGAAUAACCUCGAGAACAAUUUUAUUGAAUGAUGCUAUCAAUGAUCAGUUUUAAUUGCAUUACAAAAAUUGAUUGAAGACUAGAAUUUAUAAUAAAAUAGAAAGCCCAACUACCAAACUAAAGAGAGCACAAGCUAUAAAAGGAAACUGACUAAACUAACUAAUUAACUUAUGAGUCUAACUAACUAUUGAUCAAUUAUAUAAGAGCACAUGUUAAAUAUGCAAAUUGUGCUAAUAAUAAUACUUAUAACUAAUUGGAAAACAUAUAUGAUUGUACUGCUACUGUUAUUGCUAUAUGUAUGUUGUUGGUUUGGUGAUGUUGAUUUUCUUGUACUGCUACUGUUAUUACUAUAUGUAUGUUGUUGGUUUGGUGAUGUUGAUUUUGUGAUUGUGUUGAUUAAAUGAAGAGCUUGGAAAGUUCCUUGUCUUUGAGUUGUGGUUGGCAAUGUUUUGUUGGAGAAACAGAGGUUUAUGUGAGGUGAGUUUUGCAUUUCAUGUGAAACCCCCCCAUAAGCUGGGGCACAGAUGUUGUUGAGGCCCAGCUUGGUCUGAAUGGAUGAGUAAUCCUUGGCUCCUAGAGGCUUAGUGAGAGCAUCUGCGAGUUGAAGAUGUGUAGGAACUGGAAGGAGUUUGAUUUUCCCUUGAGUGCACUUUUCUCUAACCGUGUGACAAUCAAGUUCUAUGUGCUUGGUUCUUUCAUGGAAAACAGGGUUAGUGGCAAGAUAAAUUGCAGAUUGAUUAUCACAAAACAUAAUAUCAGGUGUAGAAAAAGGAUAUUGUAAAUCUUCAAGUAAGUAAGUAAGCCAAGUUAAUUCACAAGUAGUAAUAGCCAUGUCCCGAUAUUUUGCUUCACAAGAGCUUCUAGAUAUAGUUUUCUGUUUCUCGGAUUUCCAAGAUAUGAGAGAGGAACCAAGAUAAAUGCAAUAACCAGUAAUGGAUCUUCUAGUGUCAGGGCAGGCUGCCCAAUCACUAUCACUAUAAGCUUUUAAUUGAAUAGUGGAAGUAUUAGAAAAGAAUAAGCCUAUAGCUGGAGUUCCUUUAAUGUAUCGAAGAACUUUUGAGGCUGCUAUGUGAUGAGUAGUGGUAGGUUUGGCCAUAAAUUGUGCCAAUUGUUGAACAGAGAAACAAAGGUCAGGUCUAGUGUUUGUUAGGUAGAUAAGUCUUCCUAUUAAUCUUCUAUAAGAGGAAGGAUCAGAGUAAGGGGCACUAGAAUCCUGAAAAAGGUGGGUGCCACUAGUCAUAGGUGUUCUGGAUGGUUUGCAGCCUAACAUUCCUACAUCAGAAAGGAUCUCGAGGGCAUACUUUCUCUGAUUCAUAGAGAUCCCUAUGUUGUUUAAAGCAAUCUCAAAGCCUAGGAAAAAUUUGAGAGUGCCUAGGCCCUUAAUUUUGAAGGUUUUAUCCAGGAGAGCUUUGAGUAUGGUAAUCUCAUUGGCAUUGUUUCCAGUGAGGAUGAUAUCAUCCACAUAGAUAAGGAUAACAAUGAUAGAGGUUGGAGAAGUCCAUUUGGUAAAGAGUGAAUGAUCUCCCUUAGCCUUAUUGUAGUUAUUUUUAAGAAGAAAUUGGGACAGUUUUGCAAACCAUUGUCUGCUUGCUUGUUUGAGUCCAUAGAGGGAUUUCUCAAGUUUGCAGACAUGGUUUGGUGCAGAGGAAGUAAGGCCUGGAGGGAGAGCCAUAUAGAUAGUUUCUUUAAGGUCUCCAUGGAGAAAAGCAUUAUUGAUAUCAAGCUGAUUCAGGGGCCAUUUGUGGAUAGAAGCUAAAGCUACAAGAAGCCUUACAAUACUGAUUUUGGCAACUGGUGAGAAUGUAUCAAUGUAGUCAAUGCCUUCAGUUUGGGUAUACCCUUUGGCCACUAAUCUAGCUUUGUAUCUUUCUAUUGAACCAUCAGCUUUGUAUUUAAUUUUGAAGACCCAUUUGCAUCCAAUAGGUUUCUUAUCUAUAGGUAAAUCAGUUAUAAUCCAAGUAUGGUUUUCUUGUAAAGCUUGUAGUUCUUGUUGUAUGGCUUGCUGCUAGUGAGGAAUUUUGAUGGCUUGUAGAUAAGUCUUUGGCUCAGUUUCAGAAGAGGCAGAGAGAAUUUAAUGCAAGUAAGGUUUGGAUAGGUUGUCAUAGGAUAGAUAUGAGGAAAGAGGGUAUCUGGAUUUAGAGGAUAGGGUGGUGUUAUUAAGCAAAGCAUAGUGGUAGUCUUUCAAAUAUGUAGGUGGUUUUGUAAUUCUGUUACUUCUUCUUACAGGAAGGAUAGGUUGAUCCUGGAUGGGGAAAUGAGGCUCAGGGGAUUGAGGAGGUAUUGCAGUUUCUAUAAUUUGGUCAGCAAAGAUUUGUGUGGUUGUUGGUAGAAUGUCUUCAUAAAAGGCAUUAGUAGGAGAAGGUUCAGGUAGAGGUUGAUGGUUGGGGGAAUUAUCUAAUGGUGAGUAAGGGAAUAUGGUUUCAUAGAAGACUACGUUUUUGUUACUUCUAAAGCCUUAGUGGAGAGGUUCAUAACUACAUAUCCUUUGACAUCUGGUUUAUAUCCUAAGAAAAUGCAUCUAGUAGCUCUAGGAUCAAACUUGGUUCUAGAGUGUUUCUGAGUGCUUGCAUAGCAUAAGGAGCCAAAAGUUCUUAAGUGUUGUAGAUUAGGUAAUUUCUGAUAUAAGACUUCAUAAGGAGUCUGUUGCUUGAGGAUAGGAGUAGGUAGGAGAUUAAUGAGGUGAGUGGCAUGCUUAAUAGCAUAAGACCAGAAUAUUUUGGGGAGGUUGCUCUGGAUCAGAAGAGCUCUAGCUACAUUCAACAAAUGUUGAUGUUUCCUCUCAACAACUCCAUUUUGUUGAGGGGUAUAAAUGCAUGAGGUUUGGUGAAUGAUUUCUUUUGUGUCAUAGAAGGAUUUCAUAGAGAAUUCAGUGCCAUUAUCACUUCGUAUUGUUUUGGUUUUGACAGAAAAUUGGGUUUCUAUCAUGUUGAUGAAGUUUUGUAAAGUGGAUUGAGUUUCUGUCUUACUUUGCAUGAGAUAAACCCAUGUGAACCUAGAAUGGUCAUCAACUAUAGUCAAGAAGUACUUAUGACCAUGUAAGGAUGGAAUAGGGAAAGGUCCCUAUAUAUCAGUGUGGAUUAAAUCAAAACAAUGCAAAGAUUGGCUACUACUUAUAGGGAAUGAAAGUCUCUUUUGUUGGCUAAGUGACAAAUCUCACAAAGUUGAUCUUUAUUUGUAGUAAUGAAAGAAAACUUUGUUCUAAUAGUAUCCAUACAGUUGUGAGAAAUAUAUCCUAAUCUAAAAUGCCAUAAGCUAGAACUGGAAAAACUAGAUUGACAAGUAUUAAAAGAAUUCACAUGGUGUUGUGUAAUUGCAGAGUUAAGCACAUAUAAACUAUUUGAAGCUUUAGCUAUACCAAUCCUCUUCAAAGACUUCUUCUCCUGGAUAAGGCAACAGUUAGAAUUGAAGGAUAAUAUGUAUGGUGAAUCAGAGGUAAGUCUUGAUAUUGACAGUAGAUUAUAUGAGAAAUUAGGUAGGUACAGAACAUUAUAAAAAAUUAAAUUGGGAAGCAAAAAAAUAGUGCCUGAGAUUUGUGAGGUUACCUCAUUGCCAUUAGGUAGCUUGACUUUAAUUGGCUUUAUUCUAUUAUAUGUUCCAAAGUUUGAGAGUUUGGAAUUAAUGUGGUCUGUUGCACCACUAUCUAAUAUCCAAGAGGAUAGUGUUUGGCCAAAAUGAAAAUUACCUGUAUUGUUGAUGUCUGGCAGUGUUGAAGUGGCUGAAAGAAUGUUGGAGUGUUCACUGUUAUUGUUUUGUGAACUUUGUGUUUGUUGUAACAUACUUACAAGACCUUGAUAUUGUUGCUUACUCAGUCCAAAGACUUUCUCAUCUACUUGUUCAGUUUCUUGCAUAUCAUUUUUCUCAGAUUCAUUUAGGCCUGCAGAUUGAGCAGAGUUCACCUGUUCUCCUUUAUUGAGAGGGAAAUUUGCAGGGUAACCAUGCAAUCUGUAACAAGUCUCUGUGGUGUGCCCAUUUUUCUUACAAUAUGUACAAUACUUUGGUGGAGUUUGUGUCUUGUUCCAAGAUCCCCUCCCAUAUCCACUAGAGUUUCCUCUUGCCUGGGUGUUAUUGGAGUUUCUGUUUGUUGUGUAUGAUCUUCCUGAGUAUCCUCCUCUUCUUGCAUUACCAGAGAUAGUCAUUGCUUUUGCAUCUGAGUCAUGUCCAUACAUCUGUGUUUCUUGUUGAACAACCAGUGAGAAAACCUUUCUCAUUGAAGGAAGGGGGUCCAUGAGCAUAAUUUGAGAUUUAACUCCACUAUAUGCCUCAUUAAGUCCUUUGAGAAACCUGAUGAUCUUAUCUUCUUCCCUAUGCUUCUUGAUGUCACAGAGGGCCUCACAAGUACAUCUUGGUUCUGGUCGAAAAGUAUCCAACUCAUCCCACAGAAUCUUAGUUUGGGUGAAGUACUUUGAGACACUUAAAUCACCUUGUUUGAUACUUCCUAUGGUAUCUUGUAAUUCUGCAAUCUUAAAGAGGUUACCUUGGGAAAAUCUUUCAUUGAGAUCCUCCUAUGCUUCAUAGGCUUUGUCUAUCCAAAGGAUGCUUUGUGCUAUAGAAGGUGAAACUGAUCUGAUGAUCCAUGAGGUGACCAAAUUAUUGGCCCUUGCCCAUGCCUUAUAUGAAGAGUCUGUCUUUCUUGGCAUUCUGAUUGAUCCAUCCACAAAUUCCCAUUUCUGUUUUGAUAUAAGGCUCAUCUCCAUAGAUCUUGCCCAUUGGUGGUAGUUGUCACCAUUCAACAAUGGUGAAACAAGGGGAGUGGCAGGAUUUUCUGAAGGGUGAAUGUAGUAUGGAUCUUGAGAAGGGUCAGAAGAAAUCUGGACAGGGUUAGGCAGAAUGGAGCUUGAAUCCAUGGCAGACAUUUGUUGAAUGUAACAGAGCUCUCUAAAAGAGCUCUGAUACCAUCAAAGAAAAGAAGAAAAAGAGUUGUUCCAACAGUGGAUUAUCAAUCCAAGCAGAACAAGAAGAAGAAUACCAAUCUUCAACGAAUAACCUCGAGAACAAUUUUAUUGAAUGAUGCUGAUCAAUGAUCAGUUUUAAUUGCAUUACAAAAAUUGAUUGAAGACUAGAAUUUAUACUAAAAUAGAAAGCCUAACUACCAAACUAAAGAGAGCACAAGCUAUAAAAGGAAACUGACUAAACUAACUAACUUAUGAGUCUAACUAACUAUUGAUCAAUUAUAUAAGAGCACAUGUUAAAUAUGCAAAUUGUGCUAAUAAUAAUACUUAUAACUAAUUGGAAAACAUAUAUGCUUGUACUGCUACUGUUAUUGCUAUAUGUAGGUUGUUGGUUUGGUGAUGUUGAUUUUCUUGUACUGCUACUGUUAUUGCUAUAUGUAUGUUGUUGGUUUGGUGAUGUUGAUUUUGUGAUUGUGUUGAUUAAAUGAAGAACUUGGAAAGUUCCUUGUCUUUGAGUUGUGGUUGGCAUUGUUUGUUGGAGAAACAAAGGUUUAUGUGAGGUGAGUUUUGCAUUUCAUGUGAAACACAGGGCAUUGAUUCAUGAGAAUAAUUAUUAAUUACCACAUCAACCUAAGGGAGGAUUGCAAUAGAAACAACACUGGUAUGAAUGUGCCCCAACUUUUCUGUUGCAGGAACUCGCUGUUAAAAAGGAAAGUCAGUAAUUGCCAAAAGUAGAUGUGGUCAUACAUUUUAUG
rnacentral:lncRNA from 1 species